UUGAGGGAAGGUAAUUUGCCAAGCAAGCCCUCUCUGCAGGCGAGGCCCCCAUGCAGAGUCCAGUCCACUGGAGACCAAGAGCGGGCUGAAAAGAAGGGACGGGACAGUGGGGACGCAGGCUGGGCUUGAAAUCACAAGAACACAUGCUGAGUCUGCUACUGUCCACUUAGCCAGCCCUGCCUAGGUCAGUGAGGCACUCUGUGCCUCGGCUACCCUUCUGCGUCUCUCGAAAUGGUGUCUGCUUGAGUGGCUGUGGCCAGAACGGAUCACGGUCUGGUGGCAAAGCCUCCACUGACGCUCCUGUUCUCACUCAGCCAGGCUGAGCAAUAGAUAACAACAAUAAUAAUCAUGUAUGAUGCUUUCAGGUUUGGAAAGCUCUUUGCAAAUAUCAUCUCAUUUGAUCUUCCAAGUAACCCCACGAGUUUUAUAAAAAAGACAAAUGAAAGUCAGAGAGAUUAAAUGGCACCCCCAGGAUAAGCAGCAAUCAAGCCUGGAGAUGAGACAAAAGAGAUGGUUUCAGAGAAAUCUCAGGAGACACAGAUGAACAGAUGCAGAGUGAAGUGAGCAGGACCAGAGGAGUCAUUGUACAAAAGUAACACCAUUGUAAAGACAAAUACUGUGAUUCCAGGGGACUUACUGAAGCAUGCUAUCCAUCUAUUAACUAUACAACCAGUUGAUGAACCAAAAGAACAUUGUAUGUGGCAACACCAAGAGUUUUUGAUGAACAACUGUGAAUGACCUAAUUAUUCUCAGCAACACAAUGAUCCAAGAUAAUUCUAGAGACAAAUGAUGAAAAAUGUCAUCUGCCUUCAGAAAAAAAUAGGCUUUGAAUGGAAACUAAAACCACAUUAUAUUUCACUUUCUUCUUUUAUUUUUCUUUUCUCUUCUUUUCUCCUUUCCUUUUUCCUUUCCUUUCCUUUCCUUUCCUUUCCUUUCCUUUCCUUUCCUUUCCUUUCCUUUUUCCUUUCCUUUUUCCUUUCCUUUCCUUUCCUUUCCUUUCCUUUCCUUUCCUUUCCUUUCCUUUCCUUUCUUUUCUCUUCUUUUCUUUUCUUUCCUUUUCCUUUCUUUCCUUUUUGAGAUUUCUUCUAAAAAAUGACUAACAUGGAAACAUGUUUUACAUGAUUUCACAUAUA
rnacentral:lncRNA from 1 species